UGGUGGUGUUGCCGGGGCUUGAGGGUUAGGUUAGGUUAGGUUAGGUUAGGUUAGGUUAGGUUAGGUUAGGUCACUGGGAAGGUAAAAAAAGAUAACGAGUGAAUUGAUCUGUCAGGAGGAAGAGGACGAGGUGUUUACAGGGUCGGUUUACAGGGAGGGAAAAUGAGACACAGGGGAGAUAAAAAAAGAAAAAAGAAAAUAAGGAGUGAGGUGAUCUGUCUGGAAGAGGAGGAAGAGCAGGAGGAGGAGGUGUUUACAGGGUCGGUUUACAGGGAGGGAAAAUGAAACACAGGGGAGAUAAAAAAAGAAAAUAAGGAGUGAGGUGAUCUGUCUGGAAGAGGAGGAGGAGCAGGAGGAGGAGGUGUUUACAGGGUCAGUUUACAGGGAGGGAAAAUGAGACACAGGGGAGAUAAAAAAAGAAAAAAGGAAAUAAGGAGUGAGGUGAUCUGUCUGGAAGAGGAGGAGGAGCAGGAGGAGGUGGUGUUUACAGGGAGGUGGUGUGAGCCCCUGGACAGCGAGACGGGGGUGAAGACUAACUAGAGAAGGGCUUCAUUUGUUCCAGUUGCAUCUCGAGCGCGAUCCUCUCCUCCA